rnacentral:rRNA from 1 species
UACGAAGGGGGCUAGCGUUGCUCGGAAUUACUGGGCGUAAAGCGCACGUAGGCGGGUCGUUAAGUCGGGGGUGAAAUCCUGGAGCUCAACUCCAGAACUGCCCUCGAAACUGGCGAUCUUGAGUUCGGGAGAGGUGAGUGGAACUGCGAGUGUAGAGGUGAAAUUCGUAGAUAUUCGCAAGAACACCAGUGGCGAAGGCGGCUCACUGGCCCGAUACUGACGCUGAGGUGCGAAAGCGUGGGGAGCAAACAGGG